AAGUGUAAAAGGACCCAGGACAAUUUAGGAAAUAACUUUCGGGUGGCAUCCGGGCAGUGGGGUGGCUUUAGAGUGUACCCCAGGAUCAGAGCAACUGGCCUCUGCAGACAGAGCAAAGCCAUCCCAGGGGUCUUGAAGUUUGAAAGAUACUUCGGCAACUUGCAUGGUCCCCCCACUGCUGCCAGAUACAUUCUCCCCUCUAGCAGGCCUUCUGCACUGGGAAGUGUGGUGACGGGGCGAUGUCUCAGGCCACUCUGGGGAUGCAUGCGGCCUGUAGUGCUUUGGUUUUCCUCCCUGUGUUGUGUGGUCCACUGCUUUGUCUCCUGAAAAAAUGCUAUCUCCUCUCAUUCUCCUUAAAAAAAAAAAAAAAAA
rnacentral:lncRNA from 1 species